CAGGGAGACAAAAAAUUGAUUGUGAUGUCUAAGUAAUUUAUUCUUAGGCCACAGUCCUGUCACCUUAGGUCGAUCGGUACCUCAGAUUGAUGAACUAAUUUUAUAAUUAAGACGUUGAUUUCAGUUCCUAAACUUGUCUAGGUCACACCCAACAAGUGUUUCUCCUGGGCCAUUAGCUCAGGUGGUUAGAGCGCACCCCUGAUAAGGGUGAGGUCCCUGGUUCAAGUCCAGGAUGGCCCAUUCGUUGUUGGGGGUAUAGCUCAGUUGGUAGAGCGCCUGCUUUGCAAGCAGGAUGUCAGCGGUUCGAGUCCGCUUACCUCCACUGAUAACUACCUUGAUAACUAAAUUCCGGAGAAAAAUUGUGAAUGUGAUUUAGAUUUGUCUAUUUGAGAAGAACUCAGCUUCUUAUCAUCAUUUUUGGUUGAUAUGAUGCUGGGCUCGGAUCAAAUGAUCAAGUAAUUGAUGAUUUGAUUUGAAGUUCUGGCAGAACCUUGACAACUGCAUAGGUGAGUCUGGAAAAAACAAAGCAUCUUACGGAUGCAUUGUUUUGAAUCUGAUCUUCUGAAAGGGAGAUUGGAUCUAGAACAAUGAAAAUUCUUUUGAGCAAGAGCCGAGACUUUUAAACGUUCUUUGAUUCGUGUCGAGCGAAUCAGAGUUUGAUCUUGUUUUUAGCAAUAAAAACUUGAGAAUCUGCUUUCAACGGCGGUAAGCGUUUAGGAGGUUAAUU
rnacentral:tRNA from 1 species